UUGAGUAGUACGGUUGCCUUGUGUGUUAGUAAUUCUACGAUAAUUUUUUAUCAGAUAGUAAUCGCUAGUCUAGCGAAGGUUUCAUUGUGAGAAAGUAAAAUUACAACCGUCAAAAUUUUACGAAGAAAGAAAUAUGAGUAUUAAUUCCGGCCUAUCAUUAAGUAAUUGUGAAAGUACUAAAAAAGGCAUAAUAAUGCCAAGUUUAAUAUCCAGCAAUUGUGACAUGUCAAGUAAAUGUAUGGAUGAAAGUUUAGAAGAAGGAUCUAGAUUUCAACAACAUUAUUGUAUAACGUUGGGUGUGGGGCCUCUGUGGUGGUCCUGAUGUGCCCCAUGCCGCAUUGUCUGUAUCUACAGUCAACACAGAGAGCCACGGCGUGGGGAUCAAGCAGAGUCAGCUCUCUGUGAGCUCCCAUAUUGUACAAGAGGAUGAAUUAUUGAAAGCUGUACGAAAUAGCGAAUCAUUGCGCUUAACUUUUACUUUGCAUUUGACGGAAAGCACAUCUGUCGAAUGGGAAACAGUAGUAUGGCGUCGUUGUCUUUAUAUUCGCGUGCCAAGCUGCCUUU